GGGGUCGACGGCGCCACGGCGAGCUCCCCGGCCCCGGCGCCGGCCGUGGACUGCACGGCGGAGGCGCUGAAGUUGGCGGACUGCCUGGACUACGUGACCCCGGGGAAGACGGCGCCGAGCCGGCCGUCGAAGCUGUGCUGCGGGGAGGUGAAGGGCGCGCUCAAGGACAGCGCCGCCGUGGGCUGCCUGUGCGCCGCCUUCACCUCCAAGACGCUGCCCCUCCCGAUCAACAUCACC
rnacentral:misc_RNA from 1 species